rnacentral:rRNA from 1 species
UCUAAGUAUAACCUGCCAGACAGGGAAACUGCGUACGGCUCAUUACACCAGCCUUAAUUUACUUGACCUUGACAACCUACUUGGAUAACUGUGGUAAUUCUAGAGCUAAUACAUGCACCAAAGCUCCGAUCCUCGCGGAGAGGAGCGCAUUUGUUCGCCACAAAACCAAGCGCCCAUCUGGGCGUCCAGUGCUGAACCAGAACAACUCAGCUGAUCGCACGGUCUUGUACCGGCGACGUGUCUUUCAAGUGUCUGCCUUAUCAACUUUCGAUGGUAGUGUACCUGACUACCAUGGUUGUGACGGGUAACGGAGGAUAAGGGUUCGACUCCGGAGAAGGGGCCUGAGAAAUGGCCACUACGUCUAAGGAUGGCAGCAGGCGCGCAAAUUACCCACUCUCAACGCGAGGAGGUAGUGACGAGAAAUAACGAGACCGUUCUCAUACGAGGCCGGUUAUUGGAAUGGGUACAA